UACGUAGGGUGCAAGCGUUGUCCGGAAUUAUUGGGCGUAAAGAGCUCGUAGGCGGUUCGUCGCGUCGGCUGUGAAAUCCCGAGGCUCAACCUCGGGUCUGCAGUCGAUACGGGCGGACUGGAGUUCGGCAGGGGAGACUGGAAUUCCUGGUAUAGCGGUGAAAUGCGCAGAUAUCAGGAGGAACACCGGUGGCGAAGGCGGGUCUCUGGGCCGAUACUGACGCUGAGGCGCGAAAGCGUGGGGAGCGAACAGG
rnacentral:rRNA from 1 species